UCCUGGCUCAGGAUGAACGCUAGCUACAGGCUUAACACAUGCAAGUCGAGGGGAAACGAUAGAGAAAGCUUGCUUUUUCUAGGCGUCGACCGGCGCACGGGUGAGUAACGCGUAUCCAACCUGCCCAUCACUUGGGGAUAACCUUGCGAAAGUAAGACUAAUACCCAAUGACGUCUCUAGAAGACAUCUGAAAGAGAUUAAAGAUUUAUCGGUGAUGGAUGGGGAUGCGUCUGAUUAGCUUGUUGGCGGGGUAACGGCCCACCAAGGCGACGAUGGGUAGGGGUUCUGAGAGGAAGGUCCCCCACAUUGGAACUGAGACACGGUCCAAACUCCUACGGGAGGCAGCAGUGAGGAAUAUUGGUCAAUGGGCGCGAGCCUGAACCAGCCAAGUAGCGUGGAGGACGACGGCCCUACGGGUUGUAAACUCCUUUUAUAAGGGGAUAAAGUUGGCCAUGUAUGGCCAUUUGCAGGUACCUUAUGAAUAAGCAUCGGCUAAUUCCGUG
rnacentral:rRNA from 1 species